GACGAACGCUGGCGGCGUGCUUAACACAUGCAAGUCGAACGGAAAGGCCCUGCUUGCAGGGUACUCGAGUGGCGAACGGGUGAGUAACACGUGGGUGAUCUGCCCUGCACUUCGGGAUAAGCCUGGGAAACUGGGUCUAAUACCGGAUAGGAGCCAUUUUUAGUGUGAUGGUUGGAAAGUUUUUUCGGUGUGGGAUGAGCUCGCGGCCUAUCAGCUUGUUGGUGGGGUAAUGGCCUACCAAGGCGGCGACGGGUAGCCGGCCUGAGAGGGUGGACGGCCAAAUUGGGACUGGGAUACGGCCCAGACCCCUACGGGAGGCAGCAGUGGGAAUAUUGCACAAUGGGCGCAAGCCUGAUGCAGCGACGCCGCGUGGGGGAUGACGGCCUUCGGGUUGGAAACUCCUUUCGCUAGGGACGAAGCUUUUUGUGACGGUACCUAGAUAAGAAGCACCGGCUAACUACGUG
rnacentral:rRNA from 1 species